rnacentral:sRNA from 1 species
CCGCGAGGCCGCCACCCCGGGGUCGCCGUCUCCGCCUCGCCGCAGUCGGGGCAGCCGCUCGCCCCUCUUUUGCAUGUAUCCGUCCAGGACCAGGCCUGGGCAGGCGUGGUGGGGGGGCCUGCAGGUAGGUAUCACCCACCCCUCAGAAUGGCUCUCAGGCUCAGAUUCACAGCCUCCUCAUGGCAAAUGGAGGCCUUCCAGGGUCCUGGACCCACCCCCAAGCUUGGGUAGGAGGGUUCCCCCUCUUAAUCUCACAUUUACUUGUGUUUGAACAUCUCAGAAAAAAAAAAAAAAAAGAUGCAAAUUCCAAUGUCAGGGUCCCCAAAUCAAGUCUUCUGGAGCAUGUCCACGCUUGUCACCACCGUCUGUGGCUGCUUUCAAGCACGUCACGGGUGCGUGCUCAUAACAGAGACGGCAUGACCCCAAGACCUAAAAUACCACCAGCUGGCCCUUGUCGGAAAGUCCCCUGGCCGGCCCUAGUCCACUGCCUCCGGGCCGGGCUGCCAGGGCCACAGAAGCCUGAGGCACUCAGGGCUCCCAGGGCUCCCUUCUCCAACAGUUGCUGUGCCUCGGUUUCCCCGAAAUGCAAGGAGCUGAUCUCAUCUGGGUUCCCUAUGUUUUCCUGGGGCUCUAAGUGGGCCACCCCAAGGGACCUCUGCCUACAAAGAGAGGAGUCACAGCCGUGGCGGAGUUGGGACGGGCUCCGAGGGCUCUUCCUCACCCCCACCUUG